rnacentral:rRNA from 1 species
CCUACGGGAGACAGCAGUGGGGAAUAUUGGACAAUGGGGGGAACCCUGAUCCAGCGACGCCGCGUGAGUGAAGAAGUAUCUCGGUACGUAAAGCUCUAUCAGCAGGGAAGAAAGAAAUGACGGUACCCGACUAAGAAGCCCCGGCUAACUACGUGCCAGCAGCCGCGGUAAUACGUAGGGGGCAAGCGUUAUCCGGAUUUACUGGGUGUAAAGGGAGCGUAGACGGCUGAGCAAGUCUGAAGUGAAAGGCGGGGGCCCAACCCCCGGACUGCUUUGGAAACGGUAUAGCUAGAGUGCAGGAGAGGUGAGUGGAAUUCCUAGUGUAGCGGUGAAAUGCGUAGAUAUUAGGAGGAACACCAGUGGCGAAGGCGGCUUACUGGACUGUAACUGACGUUGAGGCUCGAAAGCGUGGGGAGCAAACAGGAUUAGAUACCCCGGUAGUC